UAUCAUCUUUUGUCUUCUCUAAGUUGUGCUGCGUGGAGUUCAUUUCCAUCUUAAUGAUAUAUCUGCUACCAUCAGGAGAUGGUAUGAAGCCAAGAUGGAGGGGAUUUUACUUCGCCCCUCUCUUAGUCUCAUUUCAUAUCCUCCUCACUAAAAUCUUUUCCUGGGACUGAAGAAACGGUGCCUUGCUCAUGUCUCAAUCAACUCCAGCAAUGGCUGAAUUUCAUGUAACCAGACAACCAAAUAAGUCUUGUGACCAUUCAAGUUUUGUUGGCCAAGAGGCACUACAUGCAGAUUUCUGCACUUUUCUAAAUCAAUAAUUCCUGAGCUACUACGGAUUUUUUAUGCAGUAUCUUCUUUGAAUAUGAUGAUUUUUUAGUCUGCAUAAAUAAUAAAAUAUCUAGCUUACCGCAGUUUCUAGGAUACUGAAUAUCUAGCUUAUCGCAGUUUCUAGGAUACUGAACUAUUUUGGAAGCUCUACAAGGAAGAUCCAGCAACAUGUGCCACUGUAAUGAAAAGUUUAGUCGGUGCUGCAUCUGCCCAUCCGCAGGUAACCAUGUCCUUCACAUCUCCCUUUUUAUUUGCUACCUAAAAGCCUCACUCCAUCUUGAAAGGUGUCAUUUCUUUGAUCUUGAAAGGCGCGGGUGUGUGAUUUAGAUUUUUUUUUAUUGUACUCUUCCCUUUGUGUUACCUAGGAGGAGGUACUUCCGAUGCUUGGUACGUACCUCUUGGUUAUGUCAGUAAUUUUUUUUCAUGUUUCUCAUCUUUUCACCUUUCCCUUUGCACGAGUAGUUAUUCUUGUGUCAUUGAAAGUUAUUAGUUUGGUGUGAUCAAGUUAUCAUUUGAAUAAUCAAAACUCCAAACUUUGCAUCAAUAUUGCCGCCAACACGAGCAAUUAUUAUUCUUCUCUUACCAUUUUUCAGAUGUUGAGGUGUGACCCCGAAUGCCUGUGUUUGGGUGACAUGAGGUUCUUAUGUCCUCGACAUCAAUAACCAGCAAAAACGGUUGGCUGUGUGCUACAGGUGUGCUCCAUCCUGCCCACCCCCACUGAUAUUCAUAUCUGUUGAAAAGUUGAACAUCUAGGAACUGCACUGAUGUUAUUUUGGCUAUUGGAUAAAUAUAUUUCCACUUAAAUGAUCAAUUGCUUGAAACCUUAUUGUCACUAAGCUUAUGGCGUGGAUAAGAGAGUGUCAUCUUCUGCUGGUGUAUUUCUGAUCUUACAUAGAGGUUUAAUGUUGAUCCUAUGAUAGUUUUUACCCCUUCUUUUCUUAUCAAAUCGAUCUUCACUUCUGUAAUCUGUAAUUGUUAUUCAUCAUGUCAUUGUCGAGGCUUCCUAAGCAGCCGUUACAUGAUUUCUGCUUCAACCUGACUAAUGGUACAUGUUUUGUACAUACGUACAUUGGGGUAUUUUUUUAGUUUGCAAUCCUUGGUAUGCUAAUUGAAAUAAUGAAAUAUUUUACCUUGUACCACUUUGCUACCCCGAUGAAUGGAUUUUGAUAAGAAUAUACAACAAGGGUUUUAUUUCAAUUGCCAGUAUCCUACAGUGAAACUAAGUAUAUAUACCCAGUAUCUUAUAGUGAAACUAAGUAUAUAUACACAACUCGAAUUUUUUUUAAUUUGUUUGGACAGGUUGAUUUCUUCUGUUUUUUGUGGUGGUUUCAGGUUACUGUCUUCAAAUACUUCCAUUCUAUUGCUUGCCAAGCAUAUGCGUACUGUGGCCAUGUAUGUUUGCCCGGAACACAAGAUUUGUCCUUUUGGCUUUGGUGCCUUGGUCUCCUCUAAGCCUGAAGGAUAUUUUUUUUCUCAUCUCAUGGAACCUACUCGUGAUCUGUUUACGGGCUAAUAUCUCACACAUUUGAAGGAGGUGUGGUUAUCUUCUUGUAGAAUUACAGAUCUGGGUGUUUCUUACCUUGGAGGUUUGUCCAAGUGCGUACAUUCAGAUCAAUUUGCACAUUCUCAUGGUGCACAUUGAUCUGAAUCAAGAAGUAACUAUUCAUGGGUGAAGGGUGGGAAUGAUAAGAUGGCCAAGAAUCAGGAAAAGGUUCUCACAAAGGAAAAGGCGCAAAAGUGGAAACCACCAGGUGCAGGUAUAUUCUGAAGAUAAACACGAUGGCGCUUUCAGUUAGUCAUCAAAAUCCAGAAGUUGGGGCUUCACCAUCCAGAAUGACCAGGGUGCAUUACUGGCAACAGGGGCAGGCUAUCUGGAACAUGUUGCUAACCUGCCACAUGCAGAAGCUCUAGCUUUAUAGCAAGCGCCUACCAUCGUCACUCAAAUGGGCCGCCAAACUGUAAUGUUUGAGAUAGACUCCAUGAUUCUGAAGCAAGCCAUUCCAAGCGAGGAGUAUGAUCUCUCUAAAUUAGGUGCUCUGUUUAGAAAGAUAAAUUUUCAAAUGAGAGUUGGUCUAAAUGUUUUGCAGACUUUAGUUGUGCAUGGAGGCUUUAUGGGGAGUGGCCGUAUAGAGACUUGGCUCAACCAAUUCUCUGAAUUUGUAUCAGACAUAGUUGCUGGCGAUAUGCCCAGCGCGAUGUAGUAAUGGAAUGGACCAGUGUUCCUUUAAAAAAAAUGUGUCUCAGCGAUUACUGAGUCGUGGA